UCGGGAAUUUUGCACAAUGGCCGAAAGGCUGAUGCAGCAACGCCGCGUGAGCGAAGAAGGCCUUCGGGUUGUAAAGCUCUGUUGCCUGCGAAGAAGGGCCCUGUCAGGAAAUGGGCGGGGUUUGACGGUAGCAGGCGAGGAAGCCCCGGCAAACUACGUGCCAGCAGCCGCGGUAAUACGUAGGGGGCGAGCGUUGUCCGGAAUUACUGGGCGUAAAGGGCGUGUAGGCGGCCUGUUAAGUCAGGGGUGAAAGACCGGGGCUCAACCCCGGGGGUGCCUCUGAAACUGGCGGGCUUGAGUGCUCUAGAGGGCAGUGGAAUUCCCGGUGUAGCAGUGAAAUGCGUAGAGAUCGGGAGGAACACCAGUGGCGAAGGCGGCUGCCUGGGGAGUCACUGACGCUGAGGCGCGAAAGCUAGGGGAGCAAACA
rnacentral:rRNA from 1 species